CCCAAGCUAUAUUUUGCUCAAUAAAGUACCUCUUGUGUGUAGCAUUACCAUGUAUGUGUGUGUGUGUGUCCUCCAUGAAAUCGGAGCCAAAACUGGACAUUAAACCUUCAGCCCUAAAGGCAGGAGUCCUAGAAAUGGAAGAGUAGAGCUGCCAUAACACUACUGCUGCUGCUGCUGCUCUUUCUGCUACAGCUGACCGCUCUGUGGCAUCCCAUUCUGAUGGUCAGCCAAGAACACAAGGUACAAGUGGAGCCCAAGAGUGACCAGGCUACCCUACAGGUUCCAGCCAUCUCUCUAUCUAAGCAGGCACUGAUGCCAGCACGCAGUCAGCCAGCCAGCCAGGCAGCAGCAUCUCGUACCUUCUGUACCUGCUUCACUCCUUUCACAGACCUAGCCAGGACAUGGUGAGGACCAAGGAGAAUAGUGAACAUGCCAGUAAAAGGGACAGCUGUCUCAUCCCUGCAAGGCCAAGGUCGGCCUGAUGUUGCCAGGAACGACACUUCCCCCCUUUUGAGAUCCUUGGUCGCCACCACUCCAAAGGAGACACUUCCCUUACAAAGAACGCUCACAAGGUGUGUAAGCCAGAGGAAGUCCACCAAAGGCUUUUCCACCAAAGGCUUGUUGGUGAUCUGACUGGCAGGAAGAGCAGGCUGAACACACUUUAGGGGCUCUGGUAGUUAUACCAGGGGCCAGCCAGACUCUCUUAACAGAGUCCACCAUGCCCGGGGUACCAAAGUGGCCAUUAGGAUGAACAGAUUGGUAAAUUUGGUGAUGGAAACUUCUAGGGAGCAGGGGUUUUCCUUCAGAUGACACCCACCCUCCAUGAAUUGCUUUGAAUUUUCCUUUCCAUUUCUCCACUUCCUUUUCAUUAUAGGAAAGUGAUCCAUUUAAGUCAUCAGUGGUUGUUCAUGUUCAAAGUAGUUCAGGCCCUCCUAUGGCUGCUAGCUUGGCAGCAGCAUCUGCUCAGUCAUGUCCCCUGGAGACAGGGUCAGUGCCACCUCUAUGGGCACAGCAGUGAACUAGAGCCAGGGCUUCAGGCAGCGGGAGAGCAGAAAGAACUUCCUUAAUCAUUUCUGCAUCCGCUAUGGAAGGAGAAUACUGAGAGCAUAGGGUGGAAGGCAGGUGUGUGACUGCUCUAAGGCAAAGUGGGCCACUCACGGCCAAGGUCCACUCAUAUUUACGCCUAAGACGUCAGGAUGUGUACGAGGCUUGGGGUCCAAGAGGAGAAUUGCACAUAGCUAUAAAAGCUUAUUUCAAACCCAUUACAAAUAAAACCCCUCCUGGGAUGCA
ensembl:lncRNA